rnacentral:lncRNA from 1 species
GGAUCUAUUGAUCACUACACUGAGGUUAUCAUAGUUCCUUAACUUGUCCCCAAACCGGGAACCUUAACUUGUCCCAAAGCCGGGAACCUUUUGUUACCUUGUGCCUGCUUCCUGGCAACUUUAUGCUCACCUCUAUUUUAUCCGAGGUCCUUCCCAAACUCCUGGGUUACUUUGUGCCUACUUCCUGGCAACUUUAUGCUCACCUCUAUUUUAUCCGAGGUGCUUCCCAAACUCCUGGGGUCGCAAGUUUCACUCACCUUGAACUUACCCUGCCGGCAACCACUGACUGCUGAAAGUUCUGAACUCGGUGGGGGAGUCGGUUCCCCGUACGGGCCACCAAUUGUCGCGCCCACUCUCGACCAGCAAGAACGACGUGACCACCAGUCCUUUUAACAGCAGUUUAUUCAGCAAAUUUCAGUCUUCCUCUCUCUUCUUUAUCAGUACCGUUCCCCAGCUGAAGAGUUCUGAAUCCACGCCAGAUCCUUCUCAACAGUCUGUUUCACGGGAACACUUCAUUACCACAGUUCCCCGUGAUGCAGUUCUGAAUCCUCCCUGUAGCAGGGGGUCUUCGCUCAUGCCUGAAGAUGUUUCUUUUCCCGGGUUUUCUCGUCCCAGGUCUUCUCGUCCCAGGUCUUCUCUUCCCAGGUCUUCUCGUCCCGUCCCGAGUUUUUCUUCCCGGGUUUCGGCACCAACUGUUGCGCGCGCUCAACUGGCCAGGAAGAACGACGCUGCUACAGGAUCCUUCUGCACACAUUUAUUCAGUCCUGUUUCUUCUUUCUCCAUAUAUCUCCCUUGUUUAUAUCUCCCUUGUUUAUAUCUCCCCUGUUUAUAUCUCCCUUGUUUUUAUAUCUCCCUUGUUUAUAUAUCUCCCUUAUUUUUAUAUCUCCCUUGUUUUUAUAUCUCCCCCGAACCCUGGGCCUCUCACUCCUUUUAUACUCUCUCUCAUCCACGCACUGCAGGCCACGCCCCCUCGCCAGUCACGAGGCUUCAGCUAAUCAGGGCAGCAGGGGCAAAUCUCCACCAAAUUGGAUUCACCUGUAUCCUGGUACACCUGCGCAGCACUCAAGAUGUUUGUGUCUUAUAUGAGGAAGUCAGGUGCAAGUCAUAUGACUUAGCUGCAGUCUCUGGCGCCUUUGGGACUGCCGCCACACCCGCUCCCCACAUGUAUACAUUCACAGGCGAUGAAGUAUCACUUUCUCUACUUCCCUUUUAGGUUUUUUGCACAGAAACAACACACACACACACACACACACACACACACACACAUGAGUAGUCAUUUCUCAAGGAUUCUUCUGCAUUGCAGUGUGUGUGUGUGUCUGGUGUGUGUAUUUGUAUAUAUGGGGUAUGUUUGUAUAGGGUGUGUUGUGAUAGCUAUUAAAUAAAAGGAUAUAUCUAUGUAUAUACAUGUGUGUAUGUAUUUUCAGGGAAAUUUACCAACAGCCUUUGAUUCAGGUAACUAGAUAUAUACACAGACUAGGAAGGGCAGAUGGUUAACAGGACGGUGAAUGAGAUUGUCCACAGAUCGGAUGUCAGACCCCUCAGCAAAUGCAUUUUUUCUCUUUUGCAUCUGUAUCCCAGGUUGUGUAAUUGCUACACUGCUCUGGAUUUCUGAUUAUUUGAAUUAUUUUAGAAUUCCAAUGGCAGGCUGUUUUAUGAAGAGUGAUUAAACAUUCUCUCUAGGACACAGCUAUCUGUGUAUUCCCAGACAGCUGUAUAAUUGCUAAGUUUAUAGUUGGCCAGAGUUGUGUAUACAGGAACUUAGACAACUGAUCCUUGAUACUUCAGCAGCAAUGCAUAGUGUGUGGUGCAGCGAAUGCCACUUAGCCCGCAGCUGGCCCUGAGUCUUUUCAUGUAGAAGGGGGACUGUUCAUCAUUUUACAUUCACUUUAAACAAAAUCCACUGUGUUUUUGAUAAGACCCAUGAUCUUGUCAUUAGACCAAGUAACCUGUUGUACCUCAGGGUUUUGCUUGGCUUCCAAGGCACAAUGUGGCAGGGAUGGGGUGGGGUGGGGGGACGUGGGGGGUUGGGUCCUUAGGAGUCACUGCUUUUGUCCCUAUUCUUUUUACCUAGUAAACUGCUUACAGUGCUAGUCAGUUGCUGUAUUUAGCCAGCAUUUAUUGAGUGCUUACUGUUUUCAUACACUAUUCCAGGUGUUGGAGGUAGACU